rnacentral:lncRNA from 1 species
AAACAGGACAAUUUGCUGAGGCCUGGGAGCACCCCACUCCAGAGAAUCCCUGAUGUCCCAAAAUUUGGUUGAGAUCUAAAGUUUAUUUUGCUGUACACCUCUUUGUCUGCAGUUUUACUUACUCCCAACAAAGAAGGUGCGUUUUCCUGCCUCCAUGACGAUGGAGGGGAGGCAACUCCUUUCUGGAAUUUCAUCUGGCUUCCAGCAGGGAAGGAAUCAAUCCAAGUUCAUCUA